rnacentral:tRNA from 1 species
GCGGCGGUGAUGGAACGGUAGACAUUCGGGUCUCAAAAACCCGUGCCCGAAAGGGCGUGUGGGUUCGAAUCCCACCCGCCGCA